GUUCCUCGCGACGGCGGCGGCGACGGGCGUGUUCCUCGCGACGGCAGCGGCGGGCUUGUCCCUUGCGGCGGUGGUGGCAGCUCGGCUGCGUGGGGGAGGUGAAGCAGCGGCGGCAGCGGCCGCGUGGUCGAAGGGAAGGGGCGCCUAGGGUUCCUCCUUCCCCAACCCCAACCAGCUCUGCAGGAACCGACGCCCCAAGCUCGCCAACGAGAUCUCGCUCUCACCGUCAACACCAGAAAAAGCUUCAACCCGUUCGCUGAUGUCUAACACUGUAGAAAGGAUGUCAAGUUUUCCAAGAUCAUUUGCAAGUCAUUUGAGGCCAGGAUAUAGACCUGCUCCAACUUCUUCUUCUGAUGGCAAUGGCUCUCUGGUGUCGGAUGGAGGGUCCAGGAGAUGACCUUGGAGGAGCAGCGGAAAGCAAUACUCGCGCUAAAGACUGAGAAGAGAAAACUAGUUGGAUCUAAAGAAAAUUCAGUGUACAAAUGCUAAAUGUAAUGUUUGGAUCAUAUUGGGGUUUACUGAUUGGAUCAUAUGUUCAGAUCAGUACUAAACGUGGUACUGUACUUUGCAAAUGCUAGAGUGGUAUUUCCUACUUGCAAAACAAAAUUCAGUUUAGCAUGUAAUGUUUGGAUCAUAAGUUUACAAAUGUUGAUUCUGAA